AUGCCAUGCUGCCUCCUGAAAUGGCCAUGGAGAAGUUGUGCGAUGCAGAGCGGUACACGCUCCAGGAUUAAAGUAUCGAAGGGAUGUUUCUGAACCAGAAGAAAGGGAGAGUUGGGAGACAGAAUGAACAAGCGUCAGGGUGACCGUCGAUGCCAUCUCUGUGGAAACUCUGCAGGACGUUCUUCGGGCUUCGCAGGGAAAGAGUGUCACCCUGCCCUGCACCUACCACACUUCCACCUCCAGUCGAGAGGGACUUAUUCAAUGGGAUAAGCUUCUCCGCACUCAUACGGAAAGGGUGGUCAUCUGGCAGUUUUCAAACAAAAACUACAUCUAUGGUGAGCUUUAUAAGAAUCGUGUCAGCAUAUCCAGCAAUGCUGAGCAGUCCGAUGCCUCCAUCACCAUUGAUCAGCUGACCAUGGCUGACAACGGCACCUACGAGUGUUCUGUCUCGCUGAUGUCAGACCUGGAGGGCACCACCAAGUCACGUGUCCGCCUCUUGGUCCUCGUGCCACCCUCCAAACCAGAAUGCGGCAUCGAGGGAGAGACCAUAAUUGGGAACAACAUCCAGCUGACCUGCCAAUCAAAGGAGGGCUCACCAACCCCUCAGUACAGCUGGAAGAGGUACAACAUCCUGAAUCAGGAGCAGCCCCUGGCCCAGCCAGCCUCAGGUCAGCCUGUCUCCCUGAAGAAUAUCUCCACAGACACAUCGGGUUACUACAUCUGUACCUCCAGCAAUGAGGAGGGGACGCAGUUCUGCAACAUCACGGUGGCCGUCAGAUCUCCCUCCAUGAACGUGGCCCUGUAUGUGGGCAUCGCGGUGGGCGUGGUUGCAGCCCUCAUUAUCAUUGGCAUCAUCAUCUACUGCUGCUGCUGCCGAGGGAAGGACGACAACACUGAAGACAAGGAGGAUGCAAGGCCGAACCGGGCAGCCUAUGAGGAGCCACCAGAGCAGCUAAGAGAACUUUCCAGAGAGACGGAGGAGGAGGAUGACUACAGGCAAGAAGAGCAGAGGAGCACUGGGCGUGAAUCCCCAGACCACCUCGACCAGUGACGGGCCAGCAGCAGAGGGCGGCGGAGGAAGGGUUAGGGGUUCAUUCUCCUGCUUCCUGGCCUCCCUUCUCCUUUCUAAGCCCUGUUCUCCUGUCCCUCCAUCCCAGACAUUGAUGGGGACAUUUCUUCCCCAGUGUCAGCUGUGGGGAACAUGGCUGGCCUGGUAAGGGGGUCCCUGUGCUGAUCCUGCUGACCUCACUGUCCUGUGAAGUAACCCCUCCCGGCUGUGACACCUGGUGCAGGGCCUGGCCCUCACUCAAGACCAGGCUGCAGCCUCCACUUCCCUCGUAACUGGCAGGAGCUCCUGGAAGCACAGCGCUGAGCAUGGGGCGCUCCCACUCAGAACUCUCCAGGGAGGCGAUGCCAGCCUUGGGGGGUGGGGGCUGCCCUGCUCACCUGUGUGCCCAGCACCUGGAGGGGCACCAGGUGGAGGGUUUGCACUCCACACAUUUUUCUUGAGUGAAUGAAAGAAUAAGUGAGUAUGCUUGGGGCCCUGCAUUGGCCUGGCCUCCAGCUCCCACUCUCUUUCCAACCUCACUUCCCGUAGCUGCCAGUAUGUUCCAAACCCUCCUGGGAAGGCCACCUCCCACUCCUGCUGCACAGGCCCUGGGGAGCUUUUGCCCACACACUUUCCAUCUCUGCCUGUCAAUAUCCUACCUGUCCCUCCAGGCCCAUCUCAAAUCACAAGGAUUUCUCUAACCCUAUCCUAAUUGUCCACAUACAUGGAAACAAUCCUGUUACUCUGUCCCACAUCCAAUCAUGAGCCACAAGGCACAGUCUUCUGAGCGAGUGCCUCUCACUGUAUUAGAGCGCCAGCUCCCUGGGGCAGGGCCUGGGCCUCAUGGCUUUUGCUUUCCCUGAAGCCCUAGUAGCCGGCACCCAUCCUGGUGGGCACUUAAGCUUAAUUGGGGAAACUGCUUUGAUUGGUUGUGCCUUCCCUUCUCUGGUCUCCUUGAGAUGAUCAUAGACACAGGGAUGAUUCCCACCCAAACCCACGUAUUCAUUCAGUGAGUUAAACACGAAUUGAUUUAAAGUGAACACACACAAGGGAGCUUGCUUGCAGAUGGUCUGAGUUCUUGUGUCCUGGUAAUUCCUCUCCAGGCCAGAAUAAUUGGCAUGUCUCCUCAACCCACACGGGGUUCCUGGUUGUUCCUGCAUUCCGAUACCUCAGCCCUGGCCCUGCCCAGGCCAUUCGGGCUCUGGUUUUCUGGUGGGGCUGUCCUGCUGCCCUCCCACAGCCUCCCUCUGUUUGUCAAGCAUUUCUUCUACUCUUGAGAGCUCAGGCAGCGUUAGGGCUGCUUAGGUCUCAUGGCCCAGUGGCUGGUCUCACCCAACUGCAGUUUACUAUUGCUAUCUUUUCUGGAUGAUCAGAAAAAUAAUUCCAUAAAUCUAUUGUCUACUUGCGAUUUUAAAAAAAAUGUAUAUUUUUAUAUAUAUUGUUAAAUCCUUUGCUUCAUUCCAAAUGCUUUCAGUAAUAAUAAAAUUGUGGGUGGAAAUUCUUA
rnacentral:sRNA from 1 species